UAGGGUGAAUGACAUCACCAAGAAAUCUGAGAUGUCAAGUGAAGCAGUGACACAAGCUCUGUGAAGUUUAGUGUGUUUUUGUCACGCCGUAAAUACAGUAGUCAGUGCAAGGCACUAACAUCACUGCUCAACAAAGAAGUUUGACUCUCGCGAAAUGAUAAGAUUGCUAAGAUAGAAUAGAUCUUUUGUAAUUGAUGUUUGAAUUUGAAUCAUUUGCAAACUUGGCCUAGUUUUACUGUGUUUUUUUUUCAGUUAAGAUUGUAUUUAAGAUUUUGUCUUUCUUUUCAAUGUUGUUGAUUGUCAAUAUUGUGUACCAGCUGAUUGAGUGACCUCUUGGAGAGUGAGGUUGUUCUAGUUACUACAAAAUUUUGCGAUAAACAGAGGCCCGUACUCAACUUAGAUUUCAAUGUUAUCUUUUUGAAUGCUCCGAAACUCAUGAUAUUUCCCUUUUCUACUCAGAAGCCAUGACAACGAUGCAAAUAGAAGUCACAAACCUGAAAACAUCUAACGUCAGGUUGAAGUGCUGCCUCCAAUCAGUAAACACACCGUGGGGAGGGUUAAAAUACAAAUCAUGCUACAAGGAGCAGAAGAGGCUACAACUCAAGGAUGACCACCCUCCACAGAGGGAUGAUGAGCUCAUGGACUUGUAGGGGUGGGUACCAGCCAGAAAAUUCAGGUCCGGUUCAGGUCCAGAGGACCAGGUCCAGGUCAUAUAUAACAUGAGGAGAUCCGACAGCUGAAGAGCCAAGUCGCUGGGCUGGAAUCGGAAAUGGGGCGAUACAGGGGACACUGCGACAGGCCAUCCUGGGUUACCUCUGGGACACAGUUCGGACUAUAGAGAGCGGUGCGCAUAUGAUGUACCAUCAGUUGAUGACAUCGAUCAUUUCGUGUAUCUGCUUGACAGGAUUAUAUUCAUUUGUGCAAGUACAACAAGAGAGACAUGUAUCUCAGAUGAUUUGAUGGGCAAGCUGUAUGCCUUGCAACAAUCUUUCUGCAAUAUGUUAUCAAGGGAAGAACCUCCACCACGUCUUGCAGUACAGCGGUUAGAAAGGGGCAGGCAUCGGUACAUAAUACUACCAAACUUUAUCGAAAGCCUGUUAGAACUCCAAUUCAGAGUGCCUGUAAUUUUUGCCAUGCUGAUUGUCAGUCCGUCCACUGUUUUCCGCAGGAUGCGGGAGUUACAUAACAGCUAAUCAGGCAUAAUAGUCAGUCAUAUCGAUAUUCAUUAUUGCCUUGUAUACGUGUGUAUAAACACACGGCUAUGGCCGGUUUACUAUCUGUUCAUUCAUUUGCCAGAAUAAAGAAACAAACGGAUCUGCAAACACACAGGGCUUCAGAUUUACUUGAUUUGCUUAUUAAGGAGUGACUAAACAAUAAUUUUGAAAGCCAAAAACAGAUCAGGUACCACACAGUUAAGAACCACAGGGUGAAGAAACGACGCAGAUACGUAGCUUUUCUAUUUUGCCGAUCAAAUUACGACAGUUAGGAAGGCAAAAAAAGAUGACAAGGGAUAUCAAUUGCAAUUAUAACUUCCGCAAACGUUGACAUUUUAGUUGCAGAAUGCAGGUCAAGAAGAACCUAAACUAAUCUUCAACGAAUAAAUCAUGGCAGUUAAUGCUAAAAAAAUCUAAACGGAACAUGCGGAGCCAGUACCCCCACUUACAUACAUCAGUCAUUACUGCGUCAAUGAAUUAAUUAAAACGUAUUCGCACUAAAAUAAGAUCACAAUGUCACACAUAGAUGUGCAUGAAAUAUAUCUGUGAAUCCGGUGGACUUCCUCUGUGUGCUGAUAUGGCCAAUAAAACAUUCUGACAGACGUGCUUGAGCUGUUUCCUUUAUCCGUUGGUAACGAUGUUAGGGCAGGGAUUUCUAUUGGCGCAUGCGUACAAGGUGCCCGGUGAGUGUAGUACAGGAAUGUAGUACAGGGUAUAUAACAAUAAAACUUCUUUUUCUUUGAAGAUGUGGUGCCUUUUUUGUCAUUUUUGAGGUUAAUGUUAUAGGUUAGGAUUACUAGUCAAUAAUUUUGGCCCAAAACUGUGUUUUGAAAGGGUUUGGAGACCACUAGGAAAAGUAGUCCCAAGAGGUGUGAUCAGGUUAAUUCUUGGAUGCUUGAGGUCAAAGGUCAGGUUUCCGUCUGUUUAUGGAGGUUUAAAUUUUAAAGAGCCGUGUGGAAAUUGUCAGAAACUGGCUUUUAGACACUUCAGGAGGUGGGCUAUCCUGUCGAGGUGAGUUUUCAUGGACUUUUAGUCAUAGAGGUGAGAUUUUGGCACCCUCUUUCUGUGGUUAUUUGAGUACCAUACUAGAACAUAUUUGGUAAAGCAUGCCCGUUAUCGGGUUUCAAGUGUUCCCGCGCUAUGGAAUCUGGUUGGGUAAUUAAAACAAUCAUAAAAUGCAUCACGUUACCAACUCAAUUAGAACGAAAUCUAUGACAGAAAAUUGGAAUUAUGUUUAAGUGAGAAUCCGUUUGUGGAGUCUAGUGUCAAUAUUUUUUCAUAGAGUAUUAAAAUGCCACCAUACUUGAUUUUUGUGUCUCAAUCAGUUGCGACAAUAAAUGCGUUUUGUGGUAGUACCAAUCAGCAUUCUUCUUUCAGAUGAUUGGCAGAAGAUUUCCCGCCUAAACUGGUAACUAAUAAGACGACGCAAUCAUUUUGUUUUUAGUCUGAGGGUUGUGAUUGUGUUAGAAUAAGCCUCCUGAUAAGCUUAUGAAGUCAGCGUCUUUUAUGGGCGUCGCGCUGAAUGUGCACAGCUUUGUCUCGGCUUCGAUUUUUUUUCAUUAUUGAGCCACAUAGCGUACAUUGUAUGCAUUGGAAUAUUUUUCAGCGUCAGAAAUAUUCUGGGAUAACCUGAAAUUUACAACUGCCAUACAAUAGCUACUUAAACUGUCCUUAUGCAUACACGAUUUACCUUUUACACAUACUGAAAUAAGAUGCUUUUCUGUCAGGUGAGAGCACGAGAGUUAUGGUGUGGUCUUUUCUUGUUGUCGGAGUCCCUCCCUUAUCUUCAGCGCGGUUUCUGUUCUUAGCCUGGUGUACAUUAACCAUGUAGCGUUAAUGUGCCAAGCGUCCACGUGUUUGCAUAUUUGUGCCGUAUAAGAUUUGAAGUCUUGCCCGUUCAUUUAGUUUUGUGUUUUUGUCUAUUUACGUUAAGUUCGCAGAGCUUGUGGUUCCCAUCAUAAAGAUGAAGAGCGGGCCAUAAUAGUAGCAUUUUUCCCCUUGUUAGAAACACCAGGCUUCGGCAACGAACGAUAUAAUAGUCGAAGCUGGGGUUAUGAAUGCUGCCCGAGAAAUUCCCCACCCAUUUUGGAAAUCCCCUACCUCACAUUGUUACUCGCAGCAGCUGGGGACAAGUAGUGGGUGUAAACAAAUGUAAUUUCUAUUCUCGGCAGUUAUUUUUUCUGCUAUGAUCAACCUUGUCACAUCGACGUAUGGCAUCGAUGUUGAUGGAGGAACACGGUGUCUUGUGAUACGGUUGGUCAUAGUUCAAUGGAAGCUGGCGAUUGUAAACGCCGGAAAAAGUAGUUAGCCAAGUCUCUGCUUACGAUCAAAAUCUUCCGUUAUUAUUGCUUAUAUUAUUAUUGCUAUGAUUUGUGUACGAUUUAAGACCUGCUGCAGCAGAUAUGUAUUUCAUCAUAGCUCCUAUCUUACUAUGACCCAGGGGUUGAUGGUAGUACCAGGGGUUACCAGAAUUUGGUUUAUACUUGACAUUUACCCUUUGGAACAAAUAGUGUCACUUAGAAGUAUCUGAAAGCUUUCUAGAGUAUUGCUCAAAUGCUUUGACAGUGUACCACUACCAGUGUCCAUCUCAUACAUUUGUGAUGUUGGCUGUGUACUAUCAUCGACCAAAUGCCCUGGAUGAUUCUUCAGGUGUUCGUUGUGUUUCAGCGUGUAAUAUUUCUUCACACCAUCAUCCUUCAGGAUGAAAUCACUGACUUUCAGCUCCCUCAUUGAGUCAAGUUCUCCCUUCCCCUACGACACAGGAAGAAAGCUAUAUAGAAAUACACAAGUCACUACAGAGCGAGUGGAUAAUGCAUGCCGAUAGUGCCUGUGUCAAACAUAUUGAUCAUAUCACUGGGGAGGAUUGGUGAAAAAGACUUCGCGGUGUCAAGUCCGUUUCUGCGUAGCUUCUUUGUUUAUUCUUUAUUUAAGCAGGGUGUAAGCAUUUCAAAGCCCCAUUCAUGUUAAUACAACUCGUCCAGGGGAAGCCUAGUCUCCAUAUGGAUUGUAUUCAGAUCAAUUCCAAAAAAGGACAUGAUUGUGUUCACCGAGUUAUAUAGCCAACUUUUGGACACAUCUCGCAAAGGAGUUUAGUCUCUUUCACAUCGGUAGAGAGUCGUAUACAGCCUGGUGUAAAGGAUUUGAUUUGAUUUAUUCGGCAUCGAUCCAUUUUGUCCUAAAGUUGUCUUUUUUUGACACAGGCUCAGUAUUGUCAGUUGCAAUUAUUUAUUGAGUAGAACAUCUAAAUGUGCAAUUUGGCUUUAAAACAAUAAGAGAUUGAGUUUUGAGUUUUGCGUCUUGUAUUGAAGUACCGCUCCGCCCACGGGGACUAUCUGUCAGCUACAUGGGGGCUACCGCUAUCUAUGUUGUGUAUCACUGCAGAGCAUUCUGUCAAGAACCUUGUAUGAAGUACAGAUAUUCCAGUUCUAGUUUAUCAAACAUUCCAAAAUAUGUUUUAUGGGAAUCAAUCUGACCAUUAAACACAUGAAGACAUGAAGAUGAAUAAACCAAAGUACACUAUUUCUAGCGGUCAGUGGUCCUGUUUAAAUCUGUCAAUCGUGUUUUGCGAAGAUUGUAUUA